UUAACAUGAUGGACUAUAGGACAGGACUGCUGCUGUUAACUCUCUGCUGGGCAGGUGUUGAUGGUCAGACUCUGACAGAAUCUGAACCAGUGGUUAAAAGGCCUGGAGAAUCUCACAGAUUGACCUGUACAGCCUCUGGAUUCACAUUCAGUGACUACUGGAUGGCCUGGAUCAGACAGGCUCCUGGAAAAGGACUGGAGUGGAUUGCUUACAUCAGUAGUGGUAGUGGUAGAAGCAAUUACUACUCUCAGUCAGUCCAAGGCCGGUUUACCAUCUCCAGAGACAACAGCAGACAGCAGCUGUAUCUGCAGAUGAACAGUCUGAAGACUGAAGAUUCUGCUGUUUAUUAUUGUGCUCGAGAGCCACAGUGACUGGAGUUGGUUGAACAGCUGUACAAAAUCCUACAGGACUCAUCGUUACUGGGCUGGUAGAUCCUGAGAAAGAACUAUAUUUUUCUUUUAAUUUUCAUUGUUUUAAAUAAAUUCAUAAAAACUGGCCCUGAUAAAGAUUAUCAUUAACCAACAACAAUAACCGUUAAAUACAUAAAAAAAUAUGUCUUACUGUAAUGAUCAAUUCCUCACAAAACAGCCAAUGACAGCAAAACAAUAUGCUGAAAUCAUUGUCCAGGUAUGAAGAAAAGAAAUACUACAUGCACACAUUUCAGCAACAUUCAUGUAAAUAUCAUUUGGCAUCUAAAGUAGGUCACAAUAUGGGAGUGAAAAC